GGCUGAGGCUAAGGGCGCAACAGUCCUCCUCGAAUCCUCUCUCUCCCGUUACCCCUCUCUUGUUUUCCGUUUUCUUCCAGGGUAAAUGAGUCAGGAAAGGGCUAGCACAUAGGUUUGUGCUUCCGUGUAAAGAGGCGGCAUCGCUUUUAAUGAUCGUUGACUUAAUUCUCUUGGACAGUUCCUCAUAUUAGCCGUUAGUCUCUUAAUGCUUAUGUUUUUCCCACGUAUAAGUUCCUACUUUAUCUUAUUUUGUAGCCUACUCUAAUGCGCAUUUAGUGAGUUCAGCCUAUUACAUAAGGUACUAUAAUUUGAUGAUAUUGAAUACUGGCAUGUGGUCAGGUGUUCGGAAGGAGAAAUUUCGCGGUUGGGAUGACUUAGUCCUUAGCUUUGCUUUUUCUGUGCAGAGAGAUGGACUGUUUUGCACCCAUUUGGUUUUUUAGGUCUUACUUUUUCUUAUCUAGAAAGUGAUUAAUUCCUCCCUUUUAGCAUCCCAGUAUUAUGCGGGUCGAAUUCAGCUGCAAAGCACACCGAGCUCUCUGGAGAGAGAGCGUGCCAAGCACUCGGUCCCCGUGCUGGUGAGAGAGAAGCCCUGCCCGCACGUGUCCUCCGUCGUUGGUGGGGACCACCAGCCGAGCCGUGAGGUGCUGGCGUAGAUCAGGAGCCGGCCGCCACCACUGCCGUCAGAUCGUUUCAGACCUUCCUUCACUCGCCGACUUGUCAGCUACACGUGCGCGUGGGUUCCGGCUCCUGAAUGUUAGACUUUCAACCCGUUUCCAGUUUUUUCCUCUUAUAAACACACCUGUGAACACCCUUUCAGCAAAUCGGUAACUAUUUUGAUACUAGGACUGCUGGUAAAAUACCGCCGUUCCACGGGAGUUUUGGUUAACAAAAGCACGUUUGGGGCUUGCAAGUGGCAUGAAGGUAUUUGAUAACUCGGGUCUCCCAUACUCU